UGAACGCUGGCGGCGUGCCUAAUACAUGCAAGUCGAGCGAACGGACGAGAAGCUUGCUUCUCUGAUGUUAGCGGCGGACGGGUAAGUAACACGUGGAUAACCUACCUAUAAGACUGGGAUAACUUCGGGAAACCGGAGCUAAUACCGGAUAAUAUUUUGAACCGCAUGGCUCAAAAGUGAAAGACGGUCUUGCUGUCACUUAUAGAUGGAUCCGCGCUGCAUUAGCUAGUUGGUAAGGUAACGGCUUACCAAGGCAACGAUGCAUAGCCGACCUGAGAGGGUGAUCGGCCACACUGGAACUGAGACACGGUCCAGACUCCUACGGGAGGCAGCAGUAGGGAAUCUUCCGCAAUGGGCGAAAGCCUGACGGAGCAACGCCGCGUGAGUGAUGAAGGUCUUCGGAUCGUAAAACUCUGUUAUUAGGGAAGAACAUAUGUGUAAGUAACUGUGCACAUCUUGACGGUACCUAAUCAGAAAGCCACGGCUAACUACGUG
rnacentral:rRNA from 1 species